UCCUGCCUCUGGGCUGCACUCACCCCCGCUGCUGGGCACCACCGCUGUGCCUGGCCUCGUGGCUCCCAUCACCAAUGGCUUUGCAGGUGUUGUGCCCUUUCCAGGUGGGCACCCCGCCCUGGAAACCGUCUAUGCCAAUGGCCUUGUGCCCUACCCAGCUCAGAGCCCGACUGUGGCCGAAACACUGCAUCCUGCCUUCUCCGGUGUCCAGCAGUACACAGCCAUGUACCCCACCGCGGCCAUCACGCCCAUCGCGCACAGCGUCCCCCAGCCGCCGCCCCUCCUGCAGCAGCAGCAGCGAGAAGAGAACAAUGCUCGCCCCGACCCCGUAGGAAUAGCAGUGACUUCCUACCAGCCCUCUCCAGAACCAAGAGUGAUUCUCUGGAUUUUUUGGAAAGGAAACCCUUUUUGAGACUGGGGCAUGGCACGAUGAGGUAUCAGGUAAUGAGGCCUCCCCAGUAAAGCCAAGGCUGUCGAAGGAGGGAGGGAUUCGAUUAUGGAGUCUGAGAGUCAGGGUUCAAAUCCAUACAGUUCUUGCCAUGUGCGGUAACUCCCGCCUGUAAUUACAUAGCGUUUUGGGGGCCGAGGUGGGAGGAUCACUUGAGCCCAGGAGUCCAAGACCAGCCUGGCUUAGCAAGACCCCAUGUCUACAAAAAAAUUAAAAAUUGGCCAGGUGUAGUGGUGUGCACCUGUAGUCCCAGCUACUCAGGAGGCUGGAGCAGGAGGAUCACUGAGCCCAGGAGGUCAAGGCUUCAGUGAGCUACUAUCUCCCCAAUGGACUCCAGCCUGGGUGAGAGAGCAAGACUCCAUCUCAAAAAAAAAAAAAAAAAAGACGGCCGGGCGCAGUGGCUCACGCCUGUAGUCCUAGUACUU
rnacentral:sRNA from 1 species